AACUAGCAAUGGCACUUUCUAUUGGCCAAUGACAAAAGUAGGAACUAAUGUGACGAUCCCAUGUCAUGCAAAUGUAGCAACAAGAUACUGUUCUUCUGGUGAAGAAAUGCCAAGUCAAUAUGUGAAAUCACGAAAAUGUUCACUAUUCACUGGUGUUUGGCAAGAACCAGACAUGUCUCAGUGUUACAAUACAGAAGGGAUCACUCA